AUAAGAUUGACCACCACAAGAAAAAUUUAUAAAAAUUCUCAUUUUUUUUUUUUACUUAGACCAAACUUAAAGAAAUGGAGAUUAAUGAAUUUGUGGUCCAGGUCGAAAACCUUACAGCACAACUGAAAGAAGAGGAGAAAGAGUUUAUAAUGAAGGAAAAAAAGUUAAUUCAUGACUUAACCAUAUUUGAGGAUUUAAUUCUUAAGGAAACAAAAAUUAACAAAGAAACAGAAGAAGAGCUUAAUGAUAGUCUUCCACAACUUCAUAUGGCAGAAGAAGAGUACAUGGAAAAACACCGAAAGCUACAAGAGCUCUGUGCGAUCCUCGCAGGAGAAAUUAAAGGAACAAUUAAAACAAGUACGAGAUCUAGAAAGCCAGAAAAUCAAAGAACAUUUUGAAAUUCUAAAGAACUUAGAAAAUGAAAUCUACUUACAUGACCAAAAAGUAGACCUUUUGCUUCUGGAAAAUAAAAGAAUAAAAGAAUACAUUUCAUACUUAAAGAACAAAACAGAGGAAUACAGAAAAGGACAAGACUUCCUCACGUACAGCUUCAAGGACCUGUCCUGGGAACUGAUAGCCCAACACAGUAAGUAAUGUAUCCUGGAUCCUCUUGAUACAU
rnacentral:lncRNA from 1 species